UUCCACCACAGCCAAAGAGAAUUUGUCUACUGGUUUCUGCAGAUCCAGAAUUCUGGACAUUUGAAAUAAAUUCAAAGAAAAGAAAAGAAAAGAACCACUAAUCUCUCAUCCAUAUGUGAGAAAUGAUCACAAAAAGGGAUCACCAACUGAUUUUGUGACUAUAACCAUAACAAUUAAAUUUAGGACCAGGAACUAAAAUAGGACUCUGGUUAAUUUAAGCAUCCAUAAAAUCCAUUGAGAUGCAAAAAGCAAUCAACUGGUGAAAAUAGGUCCUAUAAAAUGAUAACCUAUGAGAAUUCAAUUAUCAGAUGUUUAACAAAUUCAAACUCUUCUAGUAUUCCGUGUUACAACAAUAUCAUCAAAAUCAUUAGGUGUAUAUGUAUACAGUACAGUGGCAUAAAAUUGCAAGAUGCAUUAUGCACUAAAAUGAUUAUUAAAUGUCAAAGAAUUUAGGUGUGAAGAGCAUAAUAAUCUUAUGGAUAAACAUAAUUGAGGGUAACACUCAUUUUUUGAGGUCUUACUGACGUA
rnacentral:misc_RNA from 1 species